ensembl:lncRNA
GGUCAUUUAGGGUGCCAUUUGGGAUUUAGCCAGAAGGAUAUAAUAAUGUGUAUUACAUUCAUUUAAAUAAAUUUAACUAAAGACAACAGGUCUCUCCCUAGACUAGUUACUGGUUACAGACAACAGGUCUCUCCCUAGACUAGUUACUGGUUACAGACAACAUGUCUCUCCCUAGACUAGUUACUGGUUACAGACAACAGGUCUCUCCCUAGACUAGUUAUAGGUUACAGACAACAGGUCUCUCCCUAGACUAGUUAUAGGUUACAGACAACAGGUCUCUCCCUAGACUAGUUACUGGUUACAGACAACAGGUCUCUCCCUAGACUAGUUACUGGUUACAGACAACAGGUCUCUCCCUAGACUAGUUACUGGUUACAGACAACAGGUCUCUCCCUAGACUAGUUACUGGUUACAGACAACAGACUGCAACGCAGGGCUUGGUCAAGAGAAGUGUUGUGUAGGAUGCCGUUUGAGGUGUGGCACUAUGGAAAGCAGCGUCUGGGAGGUCAAGGGUCAAAGACCACCCAGGCAGAGGUCAAGGGUGGGUGACCUCACUCUCUUUAACAGU